AGUGAACGCUGGCGGCAUGCCUUACACAUGCAAGUCGAACGGCAGCACGGGAGCAAUCCUGGUGGCGAGUGGCGAACGGGUGAGUAAUAUAUCGGAACGUGCCCAGUCGUGGGGGAUAACGUAGCGAAAGCUACGCUAAUACCGCAUACGAUCUAUGGAUGAAAGCGGGGGAUCGCAAGACCUCGCGCGAUUGGAGCGGCCGAUAUCAGAUUAGGUAGUUGGUGGGGUAAAGGCGCACCAAGCCGACGAUCUGUAGCUGGUCUGAGAGGACGACCAGCCACACUGGGACUGAGACACGGCCCAGACUCCUACGGGAGGCAGCAGUGGGGAAUUUUGGACAAUGGGCGCAAGCCUGAUCCAGCAAUGCCGCGUGCAGGAUGAAGGCCUUCGGGUUGUAAACUGCUUUUGUACGGAGCGAAAAGGCUUCCACUAAUACUGGGGGCUCAUGACGGUACCGUAAGAAUAAGCACCGGCUAACUACGUGCCAGCCGCCGCAGUAAUAC
rnacentral:rRNA from 1 species